rnacentral:misc_RNA from 1 species
UCAUUCAAAACAAACAACUGAG